rnacentral:rRNA from 1 species
UAUCCUGUCUGAAUAUGGGGGGACCAUCCUCCAAGGCUAAAUACUCCUGACUGACCGAUAGUGAACCAGUACCGUGAGGGAAAGGCGAAAAGAACCCCGGCGAGGGGAGUGAAAAAGAACCUGAAACCGUGUACGUACAAGCAGUGGGAGCACAGGUUUACCUGUGUGACUGCGUACCUUUUGUAUAAUGGGUCAGCGACUUAUAUUCUGUAGCAAGGUUAACCGAAUAGGGGAGCCGGAGGGAAACCGAGUCUUAAUUGGGCGUUAAGUUGCAGGGUAUAGACCCGAAACCCGGUGAUCUAGCCAUGGGCAGGUUGAAGGUUGGGUAACACUAACUGGAGGACCGAACCGACUAAUGUUGAAAAAUUAGCGGAUGACCUGUGGCUGGGGGUGAAAGGCCAAUCAAACCGGGAGAUAGCUGGUUCUCCCCGAAAGCUAUUUAGGUAGCGCCUCGUGAAUUCAUCUCCGGGGGUAGAGCACUGUUUCGGCUAGGGGGCCAUCCCGGCUUACCAACCCGAUGCAAACUGCGAAUACCGGAGAAUGUUAUCACGGGAGACACACGGCGGGUGCUAACGUCCGUCGUGAAGAGGGAAACAACCCAGACCGCCAGCUAAGGUCCCAAAGUCAUGGUUAAGUGGGAAACGAUGUGGGAAGGCCCAGACAGCCAGGAUGUUGGCUUAGAAGCAGCCAUCAUUUAAAGAAAGCGUAAUAGCUCACUGGUCGAGUCGGCCUGCGCGGAAGAUGUAACGGGGCUAAACCAUGCACCGAAGCUGCGGCAGCGACGCUUAUGCGUUGUUGGGUAGGGGAGCGUUCUGUAAGCCUGUGAAGGUGGCCUGUGAGGGUUGCUGGAGGUAUCAGAAGUGCGAAUGCUGACAUAAGUAACGAUAAAGCGGGUGAAAAGCCCGCUCGCCGGAAGACCAAGGGUUCCUGUCCAACGUUAAUCGGGGCAGGGUGAGUCGACCCCUAAGGCGAGGCCGAAAGGCGUAGUCGAUGGGAAACGGGUUAAUAUUCCCGUACUUGGUGUUACUGCGAAGGGGGGACGGAGAAGGCUAUGUUGGCCGGGCGACGGUUGUCCCGGUUUAAGCGUGUAGGUGUGUGUUCCAGGUAAAUCCGGUUCACUUUAACACUGAGGCGUGAUGACGAGGCACUACGGUGCUGAAGUAACAAAUGCCCUGCUUCCAGGAAAAGCCUCUAAGCAUCAGGUAACAUCAAAUCGUACCCCAAACCGACACAGGUGGUCAGGUAGAGAAUACCAAGGCGCUUGAGAGAACUCGGGUGAAGGAACUAGGCAAAAUGGUGCCGUAACUUCGGGAGAAGGCACGCUGACACGUAGGUGAAGUGAUUUACUCACGGAGCUGAAGUCAGUCGAAGAUACCAGCUGGCUGCAACUGUUUAUUAAAAACACAGCACUGUGCAAACACGAAAGUGGACGUAUACGGUGUGACGCCUGCCCGGUGCCGGAAGGUUAAUUGAUGGGGUCAGCGCAAGCGAAGCUCCUGAUCGAAGCCCCGGUAAACGGCGGCCGUAACUAUAACGGUCCUAAGGUAGCGAAAUUCCUUGUCGGGUAAGUUCCGACCUGCACGAAUGGCGUAAUGAUGGCCAGGCUGUCUCCACCCGAGACUCAGUGAAAUUGAACUCGCUGUGAAGAUGCAGUGUACCCGCGGCAAGACGGAAAGACCCCGUGAACCUUUACUAUAGCUUGACACUGAACAUUGAGCCUUGAUGUGUAGGAUAGGUGGGAGGCUUUGAAGUGUGGACGCCAGUCUGCAUGGAGCCGACCUUGAAAUACCACCCUUUAAUGUUUGAUGUUCUAACGUGGACCCGUUACCCGGGUUGCGGACAGUGUCUGGUGGGUAGUUUGACUGGGGCGGUCUCCUCCUAAAGAGUAACGGAGGAGCACGAAGGUUGGCUAAUCCUGGUCGGACAUCAGGAGGUUAGUGCAAUGGCAUAAGCCAGCUUGACUGCGAGCGUGACGGCGCGAGCAGGUGCGAAAGCAGGUCAUAGUGAUCCGGUGGUUCUGAAUGGAAGGGCCAUCGCUCAACGGAUAAAAGGUACUCCGGGGAUAACAGGCUGAUACCGCCCAAGAGUUCAUAUCGACGGCGGUGUUUGGCACCUCGAUGUCGGCUCAUCACAUCCUGGGGCUGAAGUAGGUCCCAAGGGUAUGGCUGUUCGCCAUUUAAAGUGGUACGCGAGCUGGGUUUAGAACGUCGUGAGACAGUUCGGUCCCUAUCUGCCGUGGGCGCUGGAGAACUGAGGGGGGCUGCUCCUAGUACGAGAGGACCGGAGUGGACGCAUCACUGGUGUUCGGGUUGUCAUGCCAAUGGCACUGCCCGGUAGCUAAAUGCGGAAGAGAUAAGUGCUGAAAGCAUCUAAGCACGAAACUUGCCCCGA